rnacentral:lncRNA from 1 species
AAAAAACACAGGUUGAAGAAGAUGAGUAGAUGAUUUUGGAUAUGGUGACUAAAAUUACAUCUAUUAAUUCAAUAAAUCCCAAUAUUAUUUACUCAUUUUAACAGCCAAUCAUCAACCCGCCGUCGACCACCAUUGGAGUAUCUCUUUCGAUUGUGGAUCUUUGGAUUUCAAUUUUCACUUUCGAAAAAACCUUCAAACACUUCUCGCAGAAACAAGGGGAAGAACCACCACGAAGAAAAACCGAAAUUUGCAGAGAUAUCGCCGGAGAAGACAAAAAAUGUGAACAAUGGGUUUUGAGAUGAUAUCUCUUGGUUUUUUUUUUGAUAAUUAGAUGAUAUCUCUUGGUUAAUCGCUGCUUUCGAAUCUACUUUUAUGAGUUUUUUUGGGGAUUUUCCUGAAUUGUUUUGGGGAUUUUUCUAAAAUUCUUUGGGGAUGUGUUUUGAAAUAUUUUCGGAGAUUUCUGGGGCGUUUCUCUAAACAAGGGUGCCGCCAUUGUUGUCUCCGGCGUGACCCAGACCGAGAGAAUUUUUUUUUUUCAAUAGCGCCGGAAUAGCAGGAG